rnacentral:rRNA from 1 species
CCUAACACAUGCAAGUCGGAAGGGGGAAGUUACGUUCGGGUAACUGACGACCGGCGGUACGGGUGACGUAACGCGUAUACAAUCUGUCCUUUCACGUGGGGAUACGACCCGAAGUAAAUUGGAUUAACUACCCAUAGUAUAGUAAUACGGCAUCGUGAUACUAUUAAAGCCUUGGUGGUGAAAGAUGAGUAUGCGUUCUAUUAGCUAGUUGGAGAGGUAACGGCUCCCCAAGGCGACGAUCAGUAGCGGGUCUGAGAGGAUGAUCCGCCACACUGGGACUGAGACACGGCCCAGACUCCUACGGGAGGCAGCAGUGGGGAAUUUUGGACAAUGGGCGCAAGCCUGAUCCAGCCAUGCCGCGUGUCUGAAGAAGGCCUUCGGGUUGUAAAGGACUUUUGUCAGGGAAGAAAAGGGCGGGGUUAAUACCCCUGUCUGAUGACGGUACCUGAAGAAUAAGCACCGGCUAACUAC